AUUGAACGCUGGCGGCAGGCCUAACAAAUGCAAGUCGACCGGAUGAAGGGAGCUUGCUCCUGGAUUCAGCGGCGGACGGGUGAGUAAUGCCUAGGAAUCUGCAUGGUAGUGGGGGAUAACGUCAGGCAACGGGCGCUAAUACCGCAUACGUCCUGUGGGACAAAGUGGGGGAUCUUCGGACCUCACGCUAUCGGAUGAGCCUAGGUCGGAUUAGCUAGUUGGUGGGGUAAAGGCCUGCCAAGGCGACGCUCCGUAACUGGUCGGAGAGGGUGAUCAGGCACACUGGAACAGAUAGACGGUGCGGACUCGUACGGGAGGCAGCAGUGGGGAAUAGUGGAGAAUAGUGGAAAAUCUGCGACAGCCAGGUGGAGUGUGUGAAGAAGGGCGUCGGAUUGUAAAGCGCUGUAAGUUGGGAGUAAGGGCAGUAAGUUAAUACCGUGCUGGUUUGACGUGAACAGCAGAAUAAGCACCGGCUAACUACGUG
rnacentral:rRNA from 1 species